GAAUACUGAGCAGAGUACUUGCAGAAUGGGAGAGAAAGAGGAAUAUGGAAUAAUUAUGGAACAGCACACAUGCCCCUCUGCAUCCGAAGAGUAUACCCACAUGACUGCUCCUGCUAGGCUGAACAUGGAGUAAAAGCAAUCAGUGAUGGUGAGGACAUCAGUGGAGGAGUUAAGUCAGAAGAGGAAGAGAUGUCAACAGAACAGUGAAUAAAAGAACUGCAGAUAA